rnacentral:rRNA from 1 species
AGUCGAACGGCAGCACGGACUUCGGUCUGGUGGCGAGUGGCGAACGGGUGAGUACGUAUCGGAACGUGCCUAGUAGCGGGGAUAACUACGCGAAAGCGUGAAGCACAAUGCAUACGCCCUUCGGGAAAGUGGGGGACCUUCGGGCCUCGCACUAUUAGAGCGGCCGAUAUCGGAUUAGCUAGUUGGUGGGGUAACGGCUCACCAAGGCGACGAUCCGUGGCUGGUUUGAGAGGACGACCAGCCACACUGGGACUGAGACACGGCCCAGACUCCUACGGGAGGCAGCAGUGGGGAAUUUUGACAAUGGGGGAAACCCUGAUCCAGCCAUCCCGCGUGCGAUGAAGGCCUUCGGGUUGUAAAGCACUUUUUGGCAGGAAAGAAACGGCACGGAUAAUACCCCGCAACUGACGGUACCUGCAGAAUAAGCACCGGCUAACUACGUGCCAGCAGCCGCGGUAAUACGUAGGCAGCGUUAAUCGGAAUUACUGGGCGUAAAGCGCAGGCAGGCGGUUCGGAAAGAAAGAUGAAAUCCCAGAGCUUAACUUUGGAACUGCAUUUUUAACUACCGAGCGAGUGUCAGAGGGAGUGCGGAAUUCGCGUGUAGCAUGAAAUGCGUAGAUAUGCGGAGGAACACCGAUGGCGAAGCAGCCUCCCUGGGAUACUGACGCUCAUGCACGAAAGCGUGGGGAGCAAACAGGAUUAGAUACCCUGGUAGUCCACGCCCUAAACGAUGUCAACUAGCUGUUGGGGCCUUCGCCUGGUAGCGCAGCUAACGCGGUUGACCGCCUGGGGAGUACGGUCGCAAGAUUUAAACUCAAAGGAAUUGACGGGGACCGCACAAGCGGUGGAUGAUGUGGAUUAACGAUGCAACGCGAAAACCCAUCACUCCUGAUAUGUCUGGAAUCCCGAAGAGAUUUGGGAGUGCUCGCAAGAGAACCGGAACACAGGUGCUGCACAGCUGUCGUCAGCUCGUGUCGAGAUGUUGCUGUCUCAUAAACGAGCGCAACCCUUGUCAUUAGCUGCGCACGUGAAGGACUGACAGACUGCCGGUGACAAACCGGAGGAAGGUGGGGAUGACGUCAAGUCCUCAUGGCCCUUAUGGGUAGGGUCACACGUCAUACAAUGAACGGGACAGAGGGUCGCCAACCCGCGAGGGGGAGCUAAUCCCAGAAACCCGAUCGUAGUCCGGAUCGCAGUCUGCAACCUCGACUGCGAAGCUGGAAUCGCUAGUAAUCGCGGAUCAGCGGCGUCGCGGUGCGAACAUGUUCCCGGUCUGUACACACCGCCCGUCACACCAUGGGAGUGGGUUUUACCAGAAAGUAGUUGCCUUAACCGUAUGAGGGCGAUUACCACGGUAGGAUUCAUGACUGUGGGUGAAGUCGCAUUGGCAGC